AUCUUUUCAUUUAGGUUCUAUUUGAAUACAUGAAUAUUUUAUUUAGUAUAUCUUGAUAGUUUACUUAAAAUGUUUGUACAUUUGAUAAAUGAGUAGUGUAAUUAAGGGUCUAUUUGGCCUAGAUUCUGGAAAAGUGAUUUUAGUUUGGAGAAUUGAUUUUGGUGAAAAACUGUAGAACAUUUGGCUGAGUUUAGGUAAAAGUGAUUUUUCUAAAGUGACAUUCAAAAAUUGUUUGGCAAAAAAUUUUUGAUGCUGGUAUAUAUUAAUANU
rnacentral:lncRNA from 1 species